CUCGACCCUUGUUUUGGGACUUGCGAUUUAGAGACCCUAGAGUUCAUCUGGAAUUUUUGACUUUGGACUUUCUUUUCGAUACCUGGUUGAGCAACUUUGGUUUCAUCUGAUACAUGGAUUACUAUUGGCUUGUUCUGGCUUGAUUGAGGCUUAAUCCAAAGGAUGUAAUUCUUGCUUGACUUAAUUUAUAAAGCUUGCUAUCUCUUGGUUAGACCUCUCCUCUCUAGAUUUUACGUUAUGCUCUAGGAUAGUCUCU
rnacentral:lncRNA from 1 species